AAAUUGAAGAGUUUGAUCAUGGCUCAGAUUGAACGCUGGCGGCAGGCCUAACACAUGCAAGUCGAACGGUAGCACAGAGAGCUUGCUCUCGGGUGACGAGUGGCGGACGGGUGAGUAAUGUCUGGGAAACUGCCUGAUGGAGGGGGAUAACUACUGGAAACGGUGGCUAAUACCGCAUAACGUCGCAAGACCAAAGAGGGGGACCUUCGGGCCUCUUGCCAUCAGAUGUGCCCAGAUGGGAUUAGCUUGUUGGUGAGGUAACGGCUCACCAAGGCGACGAUCCCUAGCUGGUCUGAGAGGAUGACCAGCCACACUGGAACUGAGACACGGUCCAGACUCCUACGGGAGGCAGCAGUGGGGAAUAUUGCACAAUGGGCGCAAGCCUGAUGCAGCCAUGCCGCGUGUAUGAAGAAGGCCUUCGGGUUGUAAAGUACUUUCAGCGGGGAGGAAGGUGUUGUGGUUAAUAACCGCAGCAAUUGACGUUACCCGCAGAAGAAGCACCGGCUAACUCCGUGCCAGCAGCCGCGGUAAUACGGAGGGUGCAAGCGUUAAUCGGAAUUACUGGGCGUAAAGCGCACGCAGGCGGUCUGUCAAGUCGGA
rnacentral:rRNA from 1 species